CGUUUACAUAUGUAUUUUGUACUCUUCUGUGUUCACAUGUGAAAUCCACGAAGGUUAUUAUAAUAAUACCGUGUUGUGUAUAAACGUGUACCUAUAGUUAUAAUAUUAUAUAGGUAUAGGUAGAUUAUAUUAUAAUUGUUUGAUCGGCUUUACGCGAACUUGCUUUGGUGUCUUGUAAUUUAUCUGAAACCCGUCGCGAAGAAGAAGUAUUCGCGACAGGGAGUCUUUCAAGUUCUAACCUUGAGAUUGACCUAUACGUUGGCCGACUGCACGGUGGUAGGUAUAUGAGUAACCAUUACCUUUGUGGUAACUGGUAAGUGGUCGCUGUUGAACUGACGAAAACCGGUCGUGCGUUUCGACUUUUGUUUUUUCAUCGAUUCGAUGGCGAUUUUUUAUUUUUAUUUGAUCAAACCGGAUGAUUCAUACAAAUUCAUACACUGAUUAAUAAAAUAGUGUACUCAGAAGAACACAUUUUUCAAAAUGAUUCGCGUUUCGAUCAAGGAUGGGCCCUAUCGCGAUAGUAUCGGUUAAAAUAAUUGUGAGUACACUACGUUCAAAGAUUAAGAAAAUUUCAGCAUACCUAUGUGUGUACUUAUCGAUAAAUGUAAAUCUGCUGUGGCCUGUGAAAAGCAGAUUAAUCGUCGGGAUUGUUUGCAGAGCCCUAUGACGCAUGUAAGGAAACAUUUUUGGAAUUCGCACGAUUUGCAACGUUCCUGUCGCGUACUCGUUAUUUAUUACACCGAUCGUUUGUCCGUUGCCGUUUUGUUGGAUCAGACUACGGAACAACUAGAAUUCAAAAUAAGGAAACAUCAGUUAGAAAACCAAACACCGUGGCUGUAAUCAAACAGGAGGUCGAUGAAAUCGAUAAUGAUUGUUUUUUUGUAUCUGAGAUGGAAAUUAAAGAAAACCAAGAUUUAGCAGUUAUCAAGGACAAACGUGUGCAUCCUCAUUUCACUUACAAUACACUCAACAGUACUAUGAAAUAUAAUCAAAUUCAAACUAAAGAAAAACCAACCAGAUCAAUUAAAAAAUGCAUUAUGACACACUCAGCAGAGAAACCUUUUCCGUGUGAUAUAUGCAAGAAGACAUUUUUACACUCUGGAAAUCUUAAUAAGCACAUAGUGACACAUACUGGCGAGAGUUCAGUUUCAGUCAUGCCUAAAUAUGUUCGGAAAUCUAAACACUUCACGUCAUGAAAUAAUUAAAAACGUCUGGA